rnacentral:rRNA from 1 species
GAUGAACGCUGGCGGCGUGCCUAAUACAUGCAAGUCGAGCGAACAGACGAGGAGCUUGCUCCUCUGACGUUAGCGGCGGACGGGUGAGUCACACGUGGAUAACAUACCUAUAAGACUGGGAUAACUUCGGGAAACCGGAGCUAAUACCGGAUAAUAUAUUGAACCGCAUGGUUCAAUAGUGAAAGACGGUUUUGCUGGCGGUUAUGGCUGAGUCCGCGUUGGAUUAGCGAGUUGGUAGGGUAAUGGAUUACCAAGGCGACGAUGCAUAGCCGACCUGAGAGGAUGAUCAGCCACAAUGGGACUGAGACACGGCCCAGACUCCUACGGGAGGCAGCAGUGGGGAAUCUUAGACAAUGGGGGCAACAAUGAUCUAGCCAUGCCGCGUGAGUGAUGAAGGCCUUAGGGUUGUAAAGCUCUUUAAGCUGGGCAGAUAAUGACGGUACCAGCAGAAGAAGCCCCGGCUAACUCCGUG